UAGUAAGCGAGUGAAGCGGAAAAGCUCAAAUUUAAAAUCUGGCGGUCUUUGGCCGUCCGAGUUGUAGUCUGGAGAAGUGCUUCCGCGCUGGACCGUGUACAAGUCUCUUGGAACAGAGCGUCAUAGAGGGUGAGAAUCCCGUCUUUGACACGGACUACCAGUGCUUUGUGUAGCGCUCUCAAAGAGUCGAGUUGUUUGGGAAUGCAGCUCAAAAUGGGUGGUG
rnacentral:rRNA from 1 species